rnacentral:lncRNA from 1 species
GGGCUCCAGGUGCUGGAGGCAGCAGGGCAAAGUCGUGGUCUGGAAAUGAAAAGGAGAGAAGGGGUUGGGAAUAAACAAACGCACUGUGGAAAGCCGUCACUCCGAGGAGGGGCGGGAGAGCCUGGCGCAGAGCAAGCUGGAAGCACAGCACUUCUGGACUUCACACCAAUCAGAACAGCAGCCCCAUGUGAAUAAGUUUCCAAGCAGCACAACUUAAGUGUAACUUUUCAAUAUGACAUUUUUGGUUUUAUGACAGAAGCACCGGCUGAAGGAGCAAUCCACAAAGCCAC